rnacentral:rRNA from 1 species
ACUCAAAGGAAUUGACGGGGGCCCGCACAAGCAGCGGAGCGUGUGGUUUAAUUCGACGCAACGCGCAGCACCUUACCCAGAUUUGACAUGCCGCUGCAAGCGCACGGAAACGUGUGACCUUCGAGGGUGCGGUACCGAUGCUGCAUGGCUGUCGUCAGCUCGUGUCGUGAGAUGUUGGGUUCAGUCCCGCAACGAGCGCAACCCCUACCGCCAGUUACCGGUGUCUGGUGGAACGGCCGCCCGCGAGGGCGGAGGAAGGCGGGGAUGACGUCAAGUCCGCAUGGCUCUUACAUCUGGGGCCACACACACGCUACAAUGGCCAGGACAGUGCGCUGCUACCCUGCGAGGGGACGCUAAUCGCUAAACCUGGUCCUAGUGCAGAUCGGGGGCUGCAACUCGCCCCCGUGAAGCCGGAGUUGCUAGUAACCGUGCAUCAGCAGUGGCACGGUGAAUACGUACCCGGGCCUUGCACACACCGCCCGU